ACUUCCAUGAUGAGGACAUCUCCUUUGAAGAUCCUUGUAUCUCUCCCAUGCUUCAUAAAAACUAUCAUCAAGUCUUAGUCUAAAUGAAGCCAAUUCAUUCCUUAAUUU